CUAGAUGCUUCUUUCCUGGAUGCCAGAAUUUUAAAGAUCUUGUAAACCAAAAUCAAGGAGUUAUUUUGAAACACCUUGAAUAGAAAACUAAGCUACAAGCAUUGUAAAAAGAUUGUGCAAAUUACAAUCAGCUGGCUGGCUUAGAUAAGGUGUGGCUUCAGCGCAGAAUAAAUCCCUCAAAUAACACCAGUUUUCUGCUUGAUCGUGCAAAGGUCUGGGAUGUGUCUUGUGGCUAUAACUGAUGUUAUGUCCGAAAGUCUCGUUUAGGUGGUUGUUUUUUUUUAUUUUUAUUAACUGCACUAAUAUAGCAGGUUGUUCUCGUGCUUGGACCCUGAUUCUGUGUGGUAGUGGACCACACACCUCGAUGUGGUGGUGAGUGUGCCUGCCGUAACUUGGCAUGUUUUGCUGGUAUCUGAAAGGAUGAAUUGGGUUCUUCCCAUUAUACUUCUGGACUGGACGACAUCUGUCGGAUGGCAUAGUCACCAAAGCACUCAUCAGGCAAAUUGACAUUUCACUACUGGGAAAUGCCAUAAUGUGGUUUUAACAGUUUUUCUAAUAUUGAAGGUCUUGACAUGUGGAUGUCAUCUGAACUAAACAGGUAUUCUGUCAGUGUUGGGAGGACCACAUCAUGAGUCUUUGCAGGCAUGAUCUAGAGGACAUGCCUUACCAAGGCUGUGCAAAGUGAUGCCAGCCUUUCUUCUGACACUCCUGCCUCACGGUACAGAAGUGCAUAUCAUGGGUACCCUGGUUCCCAAUGGACAGGAGAGGCCUAGAUCUUCACGGACUGAACAUGGCUCCAUGUGGAAUUGGACCACACAUCUGAAGGUGGUGUGUGAUGGCUGCCAGCAGUUUUGUCAACUUCAUAAGUCCUGUGGUUGUAAGGUUGUCUAAGCCUUUCAGAGGCCUACAUGAAGAUGUGCUUCAUGGCGCUUUACAGAAUGUAGGCAAUCGGAUAAAAAGAAAAGAGGGAGAAAAGAAAAAGAAGGCCCAUGGGGUGAGAAACUCCCUAGAGAUGCAUGUAUCCCUUGGAGAUGCAUAGGAAGAAACCUCGAGCAGAUCCACGACUCAAGGGCCUGACCCAUCUGCCUAGGGUCAAUACGGACAGUAAGAGCCUAGGGGAAGCAUAUAGUAUCUGCUAAUCAUAUCUGCUUUCUGAGGUGAUUGGGUUCGUCCCAUACUUUUCUGUACAUUUCCAUGUACUAUGGCAGUCUAGUCUCCAAAGUCUGAUCAGGUGUGGUACUUGAGAUAGUUGGACGUUUUGGUUAUCAGGAGCAUCGACUAAAGUACUUCUUUCCCCUUACUUUAGGAUGGAACAUUGAUCCCGUGAGAAAGUAGAUCCUAUUCCUCUACCUGGGGGUGAGUGUGCCUGCCUUAAUAGGUCCUGUUUUGCUGGUAUCUGAAAGGAUGAAUUGGGUCGUAUACCCAUUCUACUUCUGGACGACAUCUGUCGGAUGGCAUACUAGUCACCAAAGCACUGAUCAGGCAAAUAGACAUUUCACUGCGUGGAACUACAUUAAUGUGUUUUUAACAGUUUCUCAUAUUCUCAUAUUCUAUGAUUAGAUGCCAUCCUCAGGUCGGAUCCUAA